UCGGCUUCCCGCUCUUGCCUCACUCUCAGCGGCUGCCUUCGCCCCUGUCUGCAGACAGCGCCGCUGGAUGCUCCCAGCUGGACUUCAACCCCACUCCUCUCAGUCCCUCUCCCCACUGCCUUCCAGACGCGCCUCUUCCCCGCCCCGCGCCCCUCUCUCCUCUCCCACCCCUGCCCCUCUCCGCGGCGCUCACCCUCCUCAGUCCCAGUUUCUGAAAGGACUCAGCUGAGAAAGGACAACUGGGUUCCGCUUUCCUUAACCCUACACCCUUUAGCUGGAUGCUGUCAGAGGCGAUGGAGAAACGCAAAGAAGUUUCAGGAUUUCCUCUAAUAAACAUAAGGCAAGUUGGAUUUGCUGUUUUCUUCUUUUUGACGAUUUUGCCUUUAGAGUUGGACCCAUUUGUAAUGAUUUACUCGUCAAUUACUCCAAGAUAACAAAGUUGGAGGUAACAUUGCUAACAAACACAGGUGAUAUAUAUGAGCACUUUGUGGGGGGGGGGUGUCACAGUUUUUCUUCUGUGGGGCACUGGCUAUUAAAAAAAAAAAACACCUUGCCCUUUCAAAAUAAGACUAGUGUGUUCAAAGGUUAGUCCCUUAAACAGACCAAAUGUGGGCAGAAAUGUUUUUAAAUGUAGUUUUAGAUUCUACUUCAAAAUGAGUAAUGUUUUGAAAGUUCAAAUAUAAGAUUUUGUAAUUAUAACAAUUUAAGAGUUUCAAAUCUCUUUGAAAAGAAUAUGCCAAAACAAACCUAAAAAUAUAUUUUAGUAAAAAUACCGGUAUCCUUUGGUGGGGGGCGGAGCAGAAUUCUAAUAUUUAAUCCUCACGAAGUAACCUUAAUUAACUGUUAGGUUCAAGAUUUCAGUUGCCAUCUUUCAAUGCCAAUAAUUUUUCCAUUUGAAAUCAACAACCUAUACUAACAUCUACAACUCUUUUAAACCCAAAUAAAGUAUUUGAGACAGCAUUGUACAAUACGUUUUGAAAUAAAUUAUUAAAAACAAAGCACCUAUGUGGGGGUGUGUGUGUGCAUAUGCAUGUACAUGUACUUUUUUUGUUCUUUCCCUUUGGCCUUUUGGUGUUUAUUCUUUAUUUAGAUUUUGUGUUCUUCCAGUCUAUUUCUAGGCAAAAUACCACAAAAUUCUUGACUCUUAAAUAUUCACUUAUAAAACUGUAUGUAUAAUAAUUGGAGAAAAAA
rnacentral:lncRNA from 1 species